rnacentral:rRNA from 1 species
CCUACGGGAGGCAGCAGUGGGGAAUAUUGCACAAUGGGCGCAAGCCUGAUGCAGCGACGCCGCGUGAGGGAUGACGGCCUUCGGGUUGUAAACCUCUUUCAGUAGGGAAGAAGCGAAAGUGACGGUACCUGCAGAAGAAGCGCCGGCUAACUACGUGCCAGCAGCCGCGGUAAUACGUAGGGCGCAAGCGUUAUCCGGAAUUAUUGGGCGUAAAGAGCUCGUAGGCGGUUUGUCGCGUCUGCCGUGAAAGUCCGGGGCUCAACUCCGGAUCUGCGGUGGGUACGGGCAGACUAGAGUGAUGUAGGGGAGACUGGAAUUCCUGGUGUAGCGGUGAAAUGCGCAGAUAUCAGGAGGAACACCGAUGGCGAAGGCAGGUCUCUGGGCAUUAACUGACGCUGAGGAGCGAAAGCAUGGGGAGCGAACAGGAUUAGAUACCCUGGUAGUCCAUGCCGUAAACGUUGGGCACUAGGUGUGGGGGACAUUCCACGUUUUCCGCGCCGUAGCUAACGCAUUAAGUGCCCCGCCUGGGGAGUACGGCCGCAAGGCUAAAACGUCAAAGGAAUUGACGG